AUUUGGUUGUAAUGCGUAUUCCAUUCAAUCCAAUGAAUCUAGGGAAAUCUAAGAGUUAAUUUAAGCGGACCUAAUUAACUUGGAACAUUGUCAUUCACAAUUUAUUGAAAGAACAACUGAAAAUCAAUUUAGGUUGCAUAUGUGUCAUGUGUGGAGAAGAACCCUCUAGCUAGUCUGUCACCUAUCCUUUCACCUUAAUUUCAUGCUUUUGUCAAUUCUGUAAUUUAUUUAAGUUUAAUUUACUUCUCGUCAAAACCAAACCCCCCCAUUAUUAAAUAUUAUUUUUUAGUUAGUUUUCAUUGUGUUAGUCUUUUAAUUCAAUUUCCGUCCAUUUCAGUUCUUAGUGUCUAAUUUGAUUGUUUUCAUUAUUUUGAGUCAUUCUAAGUGUGUUUCGAGUUAUUAGAGUUUUUAGCCUAGUUUUGUGUCCUUGAGUCUUGUUUAAUAUUUUUAAAUUAAUUUAGAAUAGAUUAGCAAUCCCUCCUAAUCCCCGGCCUAGAACGAUACCCUACUUACAUCUAUACUACAAUUGUCAAAAAGAGGGUUUAAUUUGUGUGUCAAGUAAUUUUCGCAUCAAUUCAUCAACUAAAACCAUAAGUAUUUAUAUGGUCCGCAUUUUGGUUAGAUUAGUCCACAUAUAUUCCCUUGAAUCCACUGUGAAAAAAAAAAGGUGAUUUCGUAUCUUUGGUAGGGAUGAUUUAGAAAUCAAAUUUCCCAAAAUGAGUGGGUUUUGGCAAAGUGUGCUUUUAGGCACAAGAUCCUUCCUUCGGGUAAGGAGAUGCGUCGUAGCAUCAUUGUGCGACCUAAGUGUCCCAAAAGGUCGUGCCAAAACAAGUAAACUGCUAAAUCACGAAGCUCCAGGCCAGCCACAUGUGGCGUGUUUCCAGUUGGGAGACAAUCCAUUGUCCCCAAAUCAAAAGUUCAGGCUCAUUUUUGGAGGUGGUGCAAAGAUAUUUCACUCUAUUUUCUUCAGUGGUUUCAUUUAUAAUCAUUGUCAUCUCGAAUAUCCUUAAAAACUCAACGUCAGGGAGAAUUUAAGGUCCCUUAAAUGGUGAUUCAAUACCAUUCAUACAACGAGGAGCGUGCCAAUGCUCUUAAUCAAGUUGGAUAGACCUGAAGUUGUUGUUAGAGAUGUGAUUUAGGUGUAAAGUUAGGGUGCGUAGUACACAUUCAUCCAGACAACUAACUUUCCCACAUUCCUACCUAAUCACGUGUUUCAUUGAAUCGGUCACAUGUAUUAAGAAACAUGAUUCAAUUAACUCAUAUUCGAGGACAAUAUCAAUAAGAUUAUCCGUAAGUAAAACAUACACCAAACUUGAAUCCAAGAACAUGGAAAAAUGUUCACAAAGUAAAUGGUUUACUAAGGGGAUUUGACCAACAAGGCCAUCCAUGUCAAAAUUCUACUCUUCCAACGAUGUUUGGUAGAGCAAAAUUAGUCUCACAUAUUGACUACUAAAAUGGUACUCCUUAACAACAUUGGCAGGGG
rnacentral:lncRNA from 1 species